rnacentral:lncRNA from 1 species
GCAAAGAAAUCUUCAACAUCCUUUGGUUGAGGAUCAGAGUCGACAAAAUCAAAGAAGUCAUCGAAGUCAUUAAAGUCAUCAUCAUCCAUGUCAUAAGGCAAACACUGCUGCUCCUGAUGUUGUGUUGGUGGUAAGGAACACUUAGGUUGCUGCUCCUGAUGAUGUUGAGUUAGUACUGGUAAGGAACACUUAGGUUGCUGCUCCUGAUGAUGUUGAGUUAGUGGUAAGGAACACUUAGGUUGCUGCACCUGAUGAUGUUGUGUUAAUGGUAAGGAACACUUAGGUUGCUGCUCCUGAUGAUGUUGAGUUAGUGGUAAGGAACACUUAGGUUGCUGCUCCUGAUGAUGUUGUGUUAAUGGUAAGGAACACUUAGGUUGCUCCAGCUGCUUCACCUCCACUUUCAAUUUGCCUUUCCCUUUCUUCGCCUUCGACAUCGCCUUUUCCUCAUCUUUCAUCAACUUUACCGACGAUGG